UUGUUGGUAAGGUAAAAGCUUACCAAGGCUUCGAUCAGUAGCUGGUCUGAGAGGACGACCAGCCACACUGGGACUGAGACACGGCCCAGACUCCUACGGGAGGCAGCAGUGGGGAAUUUUGGACAACGGGGGCAACCCUGAUCCAGCCAUGCCGCGUGAGUGAAGAAGGCCUUCGGGUUGUAAAGCUCUUUCAGCCGGAACGAAACGGUUACGGAUAACACCCGUGACUACUGACGGUACCGGAAGAAGAAGCACCGGCUAACUACGUGCCAGCAGCCGCGGUAAUACGUAGGGUGCGAGCGUUAAUCGGAAUUACUGGGCGUAAAGCGUGCGCAGGUGUUUUGUAAGUCAGAUGUGAAAGCCCCGGGCUCAACCUGGGAACUGCGUUUGAAACUACAAGACUAGAGUGUGGCAGAGGGGGGUGGAAUUCCGCGUGUAGCAGUGAAAUGCGUAGAGAUGUGGAGGAACACCGAUGGCGAAGGCAGCCCCCUGGGUCAACACUGACGCUCAGGCACGAAAGCAUGGGGAGCAAACAGGAUUAGAUAGCCUGGUAGUCCAUGCCCUAAACGAUGUCAACUAGUUGUCGGGCCUUUACGGGCUUGGUAACGUAGCUAACGCGUGAAGUUGACCGCCUGGGGAGUACGAUCGCAAGAUUAAAACUCAAAUGAAUUGACGGGGACCCGCACAAGCGGUGGAUUAUGUGGAUUAAUUCGAUGCAACGCGAAAAACCUUACCUACCCUUGACAUGUAUCGAAGCCCGCAGAAAAGCGGGGGUGCCCGAAAGGGAACGAUAACACAGGUGCUGCAUGGCUGUCGUCAGCUCGUGUCGUGAGAUGUUGGGUUAAGUCCCGCAACGAGCGCAACCCUUGUCAUUAAUUGCCAUCAUUUAGUUGGGCACUUUAAUGAGACUGCCGG
rnacentral:rRNA from 1 species